rnacentral:rRNA from 1 species
GACGAACGCUGGCGGCGUGCUUAACACAUGCAAGUCGAACGAGAAUCUACUGAAAGAGUUUUCGGACAAUGGAUGUAGAGGAAAGUGGCGGACGGGUGAGUAACGCGUGAGGAACCUGCCUUGAAGAGGGGGACAACAGUUGGAAACGACUGCUAAUACCGCAUGACGCAUAGAGGUCGCAUGAUCUUUAUGCCAAAGAUUUAUCGCUUCAAGAUGGCCUCGCGUCUGAUUAGCUGGUUGGCGGGGUAACGGCCCACCAAGGCGACGAUCAGUAGCCGGACUGAGAGGUUGAUCGGCCACAUUGGGACUGAGACACGGGCCCAAAACUCCCUAUGGGAGACAGCAGUUAGGAAUAUUCGUCAAUGGGGGAAACCCUGAUGCAGCAACGCCGCGUGGAGGAAGACGGUUUUCGGAUUGUAAACUCCUGUUCUUAGUGAAGAAUAAUGACGGUAGCUAAGGAGCAAGCCACGGCUAACUACGUGCCAGCAGCCGACGG